UACGUAGGGUGCAAGCGUUGUCCGGAAUUAUUGGGCGUAAAGAGCUCGUAGGCGGUCUGUCACGUCGGCUGUGAAAACCCGAGGCUCAACCUCGGGCCUGCAGUCGAUACGGGCAAACUAGAGUACUGCAGGGGAGACUGGAAUUCCUGGUGUAGCGGUGAAAUGCGCAGAUAUCAGGAGGAACACCGGUGGCGAAGGCGGGUCUCUGGGCAGUAACUGACGCUGAGGAGCGAAAGCAUGGGGAGCGAACAGG
rnacentral:rRNA from 1 species